GCCUGCCAGGCUCCCCCCUUCCCAGCUGGAGCUGCAGCGACAGCGGCGGUGACCCUGCGCCCGGCUAUUGUCCGCGGGGCCAGUGCGGCCCCUGCUCACUGAUGGAGCCCCGGACAGGUCGGGGAUUUUCUCGGAGUCUUCUGGUGCCUAGAAUUUCUCCUUAUGGCAUUGACUCCCGCAUGCAAUCAUCUGAGUCCUCUUCAUUGAGGAAGACUCGAGCCCUCAAGAUAACAGAUAAUAUUGAAAACUUUAAAAGUCCAAAAUUCAUGCACCAGUUAAAUCUCUGACUUCUUUACUGUGUGUUUUCUUCUCUCCAAAAUGUACCUUAUACAAUAUCUUAAUGACCUCUUAAAUCAUUGCAGCACUGUAAGUAACUUGUACAUAGCCUGUUCACAUAGAUUCAGUGUACUGGGAUUGCUUUACACCUGCCUUUUAAUCACUGUGGAAUAUAAAUCCUUGCUUUUCAGAACCCUCCUAUACUAUGGAUUACUGUUCACUUUGACAAAUCAGUUUGUGCUAGGAUGUAAUGUGAGUGUAGAGAACACGUAUGCUUGAAUAGUUUGUGAGCAUGAUGAGACAGAAGACAAGUGUUGGCGGUUGCUCCAAACACUGGAUGGUUCAAGUUCUGCCUCUGAAACCUCAGCCCAUGUUGCAUGACAGGACUUCCAUACUAGGACUGUUCGUGUGAACAGCACCAGCAACUUGGCAUUUGCUGGGUGCAUUUCAAAUAAAAAAUACAUGAAUGGUAUUACUAUAGCCAUUUAUCUGCAUCCAUCCACUCAAAGAGUACUAAGUGCUCCUAGAGCAAGUCUAGUUCUCACUUCUACCCUGCUCUAUUGCAGCAGACCUCUCCAGGUCUCUCCAGACUGCUCCUUGGUCCCACUUGAAUUUCUAUGCUGAGGGCAUAGUGCUUAAAGGAAGUGAAAAAAAAAGUGUAAAAAUCCAACAAUACAUUAAUUCAUCUUAUUUUUCUCAGCACCACCGCAUGGAGUUCUAAAAAACUGAAUAACAGUGCAGUAGCACUACACCAAGCCAAGAAGAAAUAUUUCAGUCACUGCCAUCCCCCAUCUUACUUGCCCCUAAAGUAACUUGGUGAAGUAUGGGACAGGUGGUUUCAGGAAGUAAAAUACUCCAUGCCUCUGCACAUGUUUGGUGAUCUGUUGAAAUAGCAGCUGUCUUGCUUUCAUCUCAGCCAUAAUGAGAAGGCAAUUAUUACAGCCUUAGUUAUCACUAUAGGCACAUAUCUGGUGCAUUCAGGACAAGGAAAUGCACAUCGGGAUUACAUGACAGCAGUGAGCCUCCAGCCUGCCUCUCAAGUACAGAAAACCCCUCCAGAGUUUUGGAACUUCUCUUCUGAUAGUCCUCCUGGUGACUCCAGGUGACCACCCACAGAUGUCUAAUGAUAGAGGCUCCCACAGGCGGGGAGGCUGUGGAGGACACAGGCACAAGAAGCAGCUUGUCCGGAGCAGGGAAUGCCUGAGGCAGAGCUCAAAGCACACAGUCAGCAGCUGGACUAAUUCAGGCACAGAUCAAGGCCAUUGCUACUGACCUCAGUCAGACUAAAUUUGCAGAACUCCUUCCAGAAUCUUUAGCUUUUUCUGAUGGCAAUAUUUAGGCCUUUAAAUUUGAUAGAUUAAAUACAAAAUAAAUAUGUAUUUUAACAUAUUUUACUGAGUCAAGUUGGAGGUUUAUGCCAAGGAAAAGUUGAAAUCACAGUGAGAAUCUUCACAAAGAGGUAAAAUUGUGUUGCAUGUAUGUAUGUAUGUUACUAAAUGAGAGGGGAGAGGUUAGACAAGUCCCUGCCUUUGACAGGUUUCUGGCAGCAGACAGCAGCUUUAUUGAGGUGGCCAGCACCCCAAAACCCCCUCUCACUCACAAGUUCUUAAUAAUGACAGAUCAGGCCUAUAGCAACAUGAAUCAUUUAUUGAGGAGACCAAGGAAAGCAGACAUAAGACUUGAAAGAGACUUCUUACUACACAGGAUAACACAAAAAGAACUACUUGUAGAUAAAAAUGCAGUGCAUGAUAAUAAAGGUACCUAAGUUACAGCUAGUGAAGAAAUAGUAUAGAUUAAGAGUCAAUGUCACUUACCAAUGCAUGACAGUGGUGUGAAAUCUCCUAAUUUCUCCCAAUCCCAGAGAAGCAUCUUGAUGUGAGUGUCUCCACGUCAAGGAAAUUUUUAAUGUGCUUUCUGAGGGGAAGGUGCCUGACAGCCAAGAGGAUUUCUGGUUUUGGAUUUCUGGUUUUGUUUGUUGUUGCUGCCAUUUUUGUUGUUUGUUUACCUUGUUAUACAUACAAACUAGUAAAGAACUGUUACUCCUUUUCCGAUAUCUUUGCCUGA